GGGUCGGUGCCCGAGCGGUUAAUGGGGACGGAUUGUAAAUCCGCUGGCAAUGCCUACGCUGGUUCGAAUCCAGCCCGACCCA
rnacentral:tRNA from 6 species